UACGAAGGGGGCUAGCGUUGCUCGGAAUCACUGGGCGUAAAGCGCACGUAGGCGGCUUUUUAAGUCAGGGGUGAAAUCCUGGAGCUCAACUCCAGAACUGCCUUUGAUACUGAGAAGCUUGAGUCCGGGAGAGGUGAGUGGAACUGCGAGUGUAGAGGUGAAAUUCGUAGAUAUUCGCAAGAACACCAGUGGCGAAGGCGACUAUCUACACCAUUACUGACGCUGAGGCACGAAAGCGUGGGGAGCAAACAGG
rnacentral:rRNA from 1 species